rnacentral:rRNA from 1 species
GACGAACGCUGGCGGCGUGCCUAAUACAUGCAAGUGGGACGCAAGGGAACACACUGUGCUUGCACACCGUGUUUUCUUGAGUCGCGAACGGGUGAGUAACGCGUAGGUAACCUGCCUAUUAGCGGGGGAUAACUAUUGGAAACGAUAGCUAUGCCGCAUAAUAUUAAUUAUUGCAUGAUAAUUGAUUGAAAGAUGCAAGCGCAUCACUAGUAGAUGGACCUGCGUUGUAUUAGCUAGUUGGUAAGGUAAGAGCUUACCAAGGCGACGAUACAUAGCCGACCUGAGAGGGUGAUCGGCCACACUGGGACUGAGACACGGCCCAGACUCCUACGGGAGGCAGCAGUAGGGAAUCUUCGGCAAUGGACGAAAGUCUGACCGAGCAACGCCGCGUGAGUGAAGAAGGUUUUCGGAUCGUAAAG